GAUGAACGCUGGCGGCGUGCCUAAUACAUGCCAGUCGAGCGAACGGACGAGAAGCUUGCUCCUCUGAUGUUAGCGGCGGACGGGUGAGUAACACGUGGAUAACCUACCUAUAAGACUGGGAUAACUUCGGGAAACCGGAGCUACUACCGGAUAAUAUUUUGAACCGCAUGGUUCAAAAGUGAAAGACGGUCUUGCUGUCACUUAUAGAUGGAUCCGCGCUGCAUUAGCUAGUUGGUAAGGUAACGGCUUACCAAGGCAACGAUGCAUAGCCGACCUGAGAGGGUGAUCGGCCACACUGGAACUGAGACACGGUCCAGACUCCUACGGGAGGCAGCAGUGGGGAAUCUUCCGCAAUGGGCGAAAGCCUGACGGAGCAACGCCGCGUGAGUGAUGAAGGUCUUCGGAUCGUAAAACUCUGUUAUUAGGGAAGAACAUAUGUGUAAGUAACUGUGCACAUCUUGACGGUACCUAAUCAGAAAGCCACGGCUAACUACGUG
rnacentral:rRNA from 1 species